rnacentral:rRNA from 1 species
GAUGAACGCUGGCGGCGUGCCUAAUACAUGCAAGUAGAACGCUGAAGGAGGAGCUUGCUCUUCUGGAUGAGUUGCGAACGGGUGAGUAACGCGUAGGUAACCUGCCUGGUAGCGGGGGAUAACUAUUGGAAACGAUAGCUAAUACCGCAUGACAACAGUUAUUGCAUGAUAACUGUUUAAAAGGGGCAACUGCUCCACUACCAGAUGGACCUGCGUUGUAUUAGCUAGUUGGUGAGGUAACGGCUCACCAAGGCGACGAUACAUAGCCGACCUGAGAGGGUGAUCGGCCACACUGGGACUGAGACACGGCCCAGACUCCUACGGGAGGCAGCAGUAGGGAAUCUUCGGCAAUGGACGGAAGUCUGGCCGAGCAACGCCGCGUGAGUGAAGAAGGUUUUCGGAUCGUAAAGCUCUGUUGUAAGAGAAGAACGAGUGUGAGAGUGGAAAGUUCACACUGUGACGGUAUCUUACCAGAAAGGGACGGCUAACUACGUG